GUCUGUCCUGCCCACUGAUUUUUUUGAAGGGCCGCAGUAAUUUGACUGUGCAAAGGUAGCAUAAUCAAUAGUCUCUUAAUUGGAGAAUGGAAUGAAGGGUUAGAUGAAGCUAUACUGUCUUCGUUUUAAUUUUAAAAUUUUACUUUUAAGUGAAAAGGCUUAAAUAAAUUAAUGUGACGAUAAGACCCUAUAAAACUUUAUAAAUUUAUAUUUAUUUUGAAAUUUGUUGUUUAGAUAAAUUAAUUUAAAUUUAUUUUACUGGGGCGGUAGCAAUAAAAUAACUAACUGUUGAUUAAAUUUAAUACAUAUAUGUAGUUUUACUGAUCCUAUAUUAGAGAUUAAAAGAUUAAGUUACUUUAGGGAUAACAGCG
rnacentral:rRNA from 1 species